CUCAACCAUCUCCGACUCCUAGGCAACGGGCACAGUCUCGACUCCUGGAGUUGGAGCGUUACAUUUACGCCAAUGAAAGGAUUUUGAUGUUCAUAGCCCCUGGUGCGGGGAAGCAUAUUUUGCCACACAUUGUUCGGUUCAACCAAGUGAUAGGCGUAUAUGUGAGAAAGACAUUUCCAAUUUGCUGCCUUAGGUGAAUGGACGUAGAAAAAGAAUAUAUCGAGGUCGUCAAGGGCAACCUAUAGUGUUUUCUCGUGCUUGAUUUCAACGAUCAAGCAACGAAUAGGUUCGUUGAGCAUCAAAUGCUCAGUACUUUUAAAGAGUUUAAGGGUUUCUAUCAAAGGUACUUCCAAAAGUACAAUGAUCCUAAGAAGGCACGUGCUAACCCACCACACAUAUUAGUGGGACGUAUGGAGGAUUAACACUUCUUCUAUGAUCAUUACAUGAUCUGUGCAUUCUAGUUCCAGCCUACCCCAGAUGGUUCUCAACCACUCUCUAGGGACGUAAUAUGCGAUACUGUGUUGGAUAGACGACCGGGCUAUUCAAAGGGCCUUGGUUUGGGACCCAAGCCCAAGUUCUGCAAGACGGCCAAUGCGAGCAAUGCCUCGAACUCGUGUUCGCAAUCCAUGGUAGAGCUCUAAUUACGAGUUGAGUUUGAUGAAGCUAAACAAGCGAUUGAGGAACAGAUAAAGAUACAAGGGAUGUUAGCUUUACAAGUGGAACAAAUGUGAAAGCUCAUAAAAGACAUGAGUAAGGCACAGCAAGGACCACCAUGAUCCCUAGCUUUGCGGUCCUGUAAUGUAGAAUGGUGUACGAGGCUUGUUAGGAGACGUACAUAGUUAUUAUAGAUUUCUAUGUAUUUUUUUAACAUUUACUAUUUUUAUGGAUUUGUAAUAUGAACCUUGUUAAGCUGUAAACAUAUAUAUAUAUAUUUUAAUUUGAUAUUUU